rnacentral:rRNA from 1 species
CACGUAGGGACCGAGCGUUGUCCGGAUUCAUUGGGCGUAAAGAGCUCGUAGGCGGCCGCUCAAGUCGAAUGUGAAAACUCGAGGCUCAACCUCGAGCCUGCAUUCGAUACUGGGUGGCUAGAGUCUGGUAGGGGGAUCUGGAAUUCCUGGUGUAGCGGUGAAAUGCGCAGAUAUCGGGAGGAACACCAGCGGCGAAGGCGGGUCUCUGGGCCGGUACUGACGCUGAGGAGCGAAAGCGUGGGGAGCGAACAGG